rnacentral:rRNA from 1 species
AUGGCUUCCAACGUCGACCUCGCGGACCGCUUCGAUGUCUCUGGGCCGACGCACAUCAUGUCUCGAUCCGGCGCCGGCCCUUCUUCUCCAACGAUGAUUGACUGGAACAAUGAGGAGGAUCGUCGGUGCGUGGCCGCCUGCGUCGUGAAGGGCACCUACAUCCUCGAGAACGACAGAACCAUGUGCAGGGUGCACGCGGAGGCGCUGGCUCCGCCGUGGUGGGAGAGCUUCCACUUCCGCCUCAGCGGCGUGCUCACGGAGGAAUCCUUCAGGCGCAAGUGCGACAAGCUCAUCUUCGGCGCCAUCUAUGAGAACGUCCCCGUGGCGGGCGGACGCCGCCACCCUUCUGCUCCGCAGUACAUCGUGGCCUUCCGAGGGACUAUGCUGCCGCAUCCCAAGGCGAUACACGACCUGUUCCUCGACUUCAAGAUCAUGGCCAACACGCUCUCGGACUCCAAGCGCUCCGAGCUCGCGCACCGGUCCGUGGACACGCUCCUCGCGACCAUCGCCAGGGGCAAAGCCGGCUCCGAAGGCAGCGGCGUCGUGUGGCUCGCGGGGCACUCUCUCGGCGCGUCGCUGGCGCUGGAGGUGGGGCGGACCAUGAUGGCGGAGCAGGGCCGCAGCCUCCCGACCUUCCUCUUCAACCCGCCGCACGUGUCGCCCAUUCCGGCGAUCAACGUGAUGCUCCCGUCGGAGGGGGUGAGGAGGGAACUGCUCGCCAAGAGCAACCUCGUCAAGGCCGGGCUCGGGCUGGUCCUCAGCCCCCAUCGGAAGCGCAUGGAGAGGUUGUUUGAGCGGCUGUCCCCGUGGGCGCCAAACCUGUACGUGCACGAGAGGGACGUCAUCUGCCAGGGCUUCAUCGGCUACUUCGAGCAGCGGCAGCAGCUGGAGGAGCGCUGCCGUGGCGCCAAGUCGGCCACCACGCUGUCGUACCGCGACAUGCUCUUCUCCGCGCUCGGCAAGGAGAAAGAGCGGCCGCACCUCCUGCCAUCCGCGACGCUCUGGAAGAACUCGAGCAUGGACAGAAACGCCAACUUACUCCAGCAGUCGUUGGCCGCACACGAGCUCCAGCAGUGGUGGAAAUCGGACGCCGACCUCAGGCUGAGCAACAGACGUUAUAGCUUCGCUUGA